GACGAACGCUGGCGGCGUGCCUAAUACAUGCAAGUUGAGCGCUGAAGGUUGGUACUUGUACCAACUGGAUGAGCAGCGAACGGGUGAGUAACGCGUGGGGAAUCUGCCUUUGAGCGGGGGACAACAUUUGGAAACGAAUGCUAAUACCGCAUAAAAACUUUAAACACAAGUUUUAAGUUUGAAAGAUGCAAUUGCAUCACUCAAAGAUGAUCCCGCGUUGUAUUAGCUAGUUGGUGAGGUAAAGGCUCACCAAGGCGAUGAUACAUAGCCGACCUGAGAGGGUGAUCGGGCACAUUGGGACUGAGACACGGCCCAAACUCCUACGGGAGGCAGCAGUAGGGGAUCUUCGGCAAUGGACGAAAGUCUGACCGAGCAAAGCCGCGUGAGUGAAGAAGGUUUUCGGAUCGUAAAACUCUGUUGGUAGAGAAGAAAGUUGGUGAGAGUGGAAAGCUCAUCAAGUGACGGUAACUACACAGAAAGGGACGGCUAACUACGUG
rnacentral:rRNA from 1 species